rnacentral:rRNA from 1 species
CCUACGGGGGGCAGCAGUGGGGAAUAUUGGACAAUGGGGGGAACCCUGAUCCAGCCAUGCCACGUGUGUGAAGAAGGCCCUCGGGUUGUAAAGCACUUUCAGUGAGGAAGAACGCCUGGUGGUUAAUACCCAUCAGGAAAGACAUCACUCACAGAAGAAGCACCGGCUAACUCCGUGCCAGCAGCCGCGGUAAUACGGAGGGUGCGAGCGUUAAUCGGAAUUACUGGGCGUAAAGCGCGCGUAGGUGGCUUGAUAAGCCGGUUGUGAAAGCCCCGGGCUCAACCUGGGAACGGCAUCCGGAACUGUCAAGCUAGAGUGCAGGAGAGGAAGGUAGAAUUCCCGGUGUAGCGGUGAAAUGCGUAGAGAUCGGGAGGAAUACCGGUGGCGAAGGCGGCCUUCUGGACUGACACUGACACUGAGGUGCGAAAGCGUGGGUAGCAAACAGGAUUAGAUACCCUAGUAGUC